GUGGGGAAUAUUGGACAAUGGGCGAAAGCCUGAUCCAGCCAUGCCGCGUGUGUGAAGAAGGUCUUCGGAUUGUAAAGCACUUUAAGUUGGGAGGAAGGGCAGUAAGUUAAUACCUUGCUGUUUUGACGUUACCAACAGAAUAAGCACCGGCUAACUUCGUGCCAGCAGCCGCGGUAAUACGAAGGGUGCAAGCGUUAAUCGGAAUUACUGGGCGUAAAGCGCGCGUAGGUGGUUCAGCAAGUUGAAGGUGAAAUCCCCGGGCUCAACCUGGGAACUGCCUCCAAAACUGCAUGACUAGAGUACGGUAGAGGGUAGUGGAAUUUCCUGUGUAGCGGUGAAAUGCGUAGAUAUAGGAAGGAACACCAGUGGCGAAGGCGACUACCUGGACUGAUACUGACACUGAGGUGCGAAAGCGUGGGGAGCAAACAGGAUUAGAUACCCGUGUAGUCC
rnacentral:rRNA from 1 species